rnacentral:rRNA from 1 species
CGUGGGUAACCUGCCCAAGAGAUCGGGAUAACACCUGGAAACAGAUGCUAAUACCGGAUAACAACAGAUGAUGCCUAUCAACUGUUUAAAAGAUGGUUCUGCUAUCACUCUUGGAUGGACCUGCGGUGCAUUAGCUAGUUGGUAGGGUAACGGCCUACCAAGGCGAUGAUGCAUAGCCAGUUGAGAGACUGAUCGGCCACAUUGGGACUGAGACACGGCCCAAACUCCUACGGGAGGCAGCAGUC